rnacentral:rRNA from 1 species
GACAGAGGGUGCAAACGUUGUUCGGAAUUACUGGGCGUAGCGCGUGUAGGCAGUUUCGCAAGUCGGGUGUGAAAGCCCUGGGCUCAACCUAGGAAGUGCACUCGAAACUGCGAGACUUGAGUCCUGGAGAGGAAGGCGGAAUUCUCGGUGUAGAGGUGAAAUUCGUAGAUAUCGAGAGGAACACCGGUGGCGAAGGCGGCCUUCUGGACAGUGACUGACGCUGAGACGCGAAAGCGUGGGGAGCAAACAGG